GCUUCACUAGCUCAGUUGGCAGAGCGUCAGUCUCAUAGUUCGCGUUCGCGCGCUGUGAAAUCUGAAGGUCGACAGUUCGAACCUGCCGUGGAGCA
rfam:Pichia guilliermondii ATCC 6260 scaffold_1 genomic scaffold, whole genome shotgun sequence.